GACGAAGGGGGCAAGCGUUGUCCGGAAUCACUGGGCGUAAAGCGCACGUAGGCGGCUUGGCAAGUCAGGGGUGCAAGCUCCAGGCCUAACCUGGAAAUUGCCUCUGAAACUACCUCGCUUGAGUAUCAGAGGGGAAGCUGGAAUUCACGGUGUAGCGGUGAAAUGCGUAGAUAUCGUGGAGAACACCCGUGGCGAAGGCGGGCUUCUGGCUGAUUACUGACGCUGAGGUGCGAAAGCUAGGGGAGCGAACGGG
rnacentral:rRNA from 1 species